AAAAUGCGAUACGUAAUGUGAAUUGCAGAUUUCAGUGAAUCAUCAAAUCUUUGAACGCAACUUGCGCUUAAGGCCAAUUACCUUAAGCACACUUGUUUGAGUGUCGGUGAAUAACUUAAUUACAUUAAAUUGAGUUUCAAUCUUCUUUAUUGAAUGAUCGUUACUUUAAAGUUAAUUUAAUGUUGAUCUUUUUAAUCAAACACUACUAUUAUGUAGCAAAGUUUCAUUACUUUCAUUCAUUAUAGUUUAUUUAACAAUUUGAUCAAACAAUCACCUCCAACUAUCUCGACCUCAAAUCAAGUGAGAUUACCGGCUGAACUUAA
rnacentral:misc_RNA from 1 species